UGAGGAACAUGACCUUCGGCGGGGGGAUAGCCGGCCCAACGGCCGGGUAAUACCGCGUACGACCUUUUGGGGACAUCCCCGAUUGGUGAAAGCAGCAAUGCGCCGAAAGAGUGCCUCGCGGCCUAUCAGCUAGUUGGUGGGUAACGGCCUACCAAGGCAACGACGGGUAGCUGGUCUGAGAGGAUGGCCAGCCACAUUGGGACUGAGACACGGCCCAGACUCCGUACGGGAGGCAG
rnacentral:rRNA from 1 species